AUGGCGGAGGCGGUGUUGGGGCCGCUGGUGGGGAGACUGCAGGAGCUGGUGAUGAGCGAGGCGCGGGCGAUGGUGGCGGUGAACGAGGACGUCCGGAGCCUCCGCGACAAGCUCAUGUGGAUGCAGGCCUUCCUCCGCGACGCCGAGCCGCGGCGGCGCGCCAACAACGACGAGCUCAUCAGGGUGUGCCUGCAGCAGACCCGCGACGUCGUCUUCGACACCGAGGACGCCAUCGAUCAGUAUUUCUUCCGAAUCGACCUCUCGAGGUAUCCAAGUUGGAUCCAUACCAUUGUCAGAGUCUUCCGCGACUUCUUCACACAAGUGCGUGUGCGGAGCGACCUUUCAAAGAGGAUCAAAUUGAUCAACACAAGGUUUGAGAGCAUCAUUGAUAACAAGGGCAAGUACAAAAUCGAUGAUGGAAGUGAAACCAUGCCAGUCACCACUUGGAGACCAUCCACUGCCAUCUCAGCUACUGCUGAAAAGUUGGAUGAUUUUGUGAUACCUUUGGUGGGACGAGCUGCCCAACUAAAGUAUCUGGGACAUGCUCUUAUUUCAGAAAAAACUAAGCACCCAAUGGCGAUCUCUGUGACAGGAAAGAGUGGUGUCGGCAAGACAAAGCUGGUGAAGGAGAGAUACGAGAGACACUCAACAAAGCGUUAUUUUGACAUAAAGGCAUGGGUGACAUGUGCACCCAAUCUCAAUGCCUCCAACCUCAUGAAGCUAAUUCUUCCGCGUUUGAUAGGAGGCUCUGUUAAGUGGUCCACAGAUGAUGAUCUCAGGACAAUGCUGCAGAAGGUGUUGAAAAACAAGAAGUACCUGUUGGUUAUAGAUGCUGAAGUCAGCAGCACGGAGUGGAACAUCAUGAUAGACUACCUCCCAACGGACAACGUCAACAGCAGAGUAGUGAGAAUCACACAAGCGGCCGAUUUGGAAUCGCCUCCACCCUACUUUGAAGAGGAAAAUAUUGAGCUUCAUCACUUUGAAGAACAAGAUAUAACUGUCGAGUUGUUCCUGGCAACACUCUUCAUGAGCGACAAAGAGAAGCAUUGUGGCGAUCUGGUCAUGGAGGCUGUCAAAACAAACCAUGCCAAGUUCAUCUUCGAUGUCACUGGUGGUCUACCACUAGCGGUUGUGCUCUUGUCCGGCCUUCUGCGGACCAAGGAGUACCCUGGAGAAUGGUGGAAGGUGUUCAAGCACCUCGAGGGCAACUCCAAUGAACGGAAGCGUCUGGACAACAUAUUGUCGAUGUGCUUCGAUGAUCUCCCACAUGGCCUCAAGUCUUGCUUCCUCUACUUUGUCGGCUUCCCGGCGAGCACACUUGUCAAGGCACGCUCUUUGGUGUGCAUGUGGAUGGCAGAGGGGUUCUUGAGACCAAAAGAGGGCAAGACAAUGGAGAAGGUGGGUGAGCGCUACUUGCAUGAGCUGAUCCAUAGGCGCCUCAUGAACCUUCCACCAUUGGAGAAUGCCGCUCCUGGAGAUGAACGGGUAACCGUCCAAACUAGAGUCCAUGACUUCUUGGUGCUCGAGGCGCAAGAGGCAAACUUCAUGGAGAUCCAUAGUGGUGAUGAUGUGCCAACACUGUCCACUGCUCGCCGCCUUUCCUUGCAGAAUCACAUGGACAAGUAUGCUGCUCUUGCUGAGCCUUUGCCCAAGUUGCGGUCCAUCAUGUCCAACUUUGAGAAAGAGUCCCAAGGCGGUGCCGAGACCAAGAAAGAUAUCAAGACCAAUGUUGGGGCUUGUAUCCCCUUCCCUCGCAAGGCCCAUGCCCACUCAAAUGAUGUCAUGCAGAAGCUCCUACAAGGAUCCAAGUUCCUUCGUGUCAUCUUCCUAGAUGGCCUCGAGAUCGGCAAAAAGUUGCCCCCAGAAAUCAGUAAUGUGAAGCACCUGCAUUACCUUGGCAUCACCUCCUGCUCCAUCGACGAGAUACCAUCAUCAGUCGGGAACCUCACACAUCUAGAAACGCUAGAUGUUCGGGGUACCUCUGUCACUAGACUUCCCAGGGAGUUCCGGAGGAUUCCAACACUGCGACAUGUGUUUGGAUCCAUCAUCUUGCCCAGGCGAGUCGGCAACCUAGAGCAACUACAGACACUACAAGAAGUAAAGCCCGAUGAAGAUGGUGGUGUCUGGGAUACAACAACCUUCGCCUGCAUGAAGCAUCUUCAGUCCUUGUACAUUUGGAACCUCCCCGACAAAAAUGCCCAGGCUGUCUUGGCAGCUAUCUAUGAAGUCAAGUACCUCGUGCUCCUAAGCAUUGAAGGCAAGGUAAUUUCCCUGGAGUUGUUCACUUUCUCCAACUUUACACGCCUUCAGGUGAUGAUUCUGAAAGGGAAGAUCGAGCCACCAUUAAACGACAGUAACCCGUUAUACUUCCGGAAAUUCUCAACUCUGACAAAGUUGUCUCUGAAUAAGACCAAGGUGUCGCAAUACUUCAUCAACAAACUAAGUGUUGAGCUUCCUCUUCUUGCCUCUCUAGCUCUACUCCCCGAGUCCUACGAGGAGCGAUGUCUUGCCUUCAAGGAUGGGUUUCAGAGUCUCAAAGAACUAAAGCUAGACCUAGACAUGUGUGUGGAGGAAAUUGUGAUAGAGGACCCAGCAUGUCCAUGUCUAGAGAAGUUGGAGAUUACCAACUACUCAAAGGGUCUUCAUCUCAAGGUCCGACACAAUAUUGAGAAAAUAAUCAAACACCAAGAUUACUAUCUCUAUAAAAAGAUGAAAAUAUGA
rnacentral:rRNA from 1 species